GACGAACGCUGGCGGCGUGCUUAACACAUGCAAGUCGAACGGUAAGGCUCCAGCUUGCUGGGGUACACGAGUGGCGAACGGGUGAGUAACACGUGGGUGACCUGCCCUGCACUUCGGGAUAAGCCUGGGAAACUGGGUCUAAUACCGGAUAGGACCGCACCGUGAGGGUGUGGUGGAAAGUUUUUUCGGUGUGGGAUGGGCCCGCGGCCUAUCAGCUUGUUGGUGGGGUAAUGGCCUACCAAGGCGGCGACGGGUAGCCGGCCUGAGAGGGUGGACGGCCCAAUGGGACUGGGGACACGGCCAGGAUUCCUACGGGGGGAAGAGGGGGGAAUAAUUGACCAAUGGCGGAAGCCUGAUGCAGCGACGCCGCGUGGGGGAUGACGGCCUUCGGGUUGUAAACUCCUUUCACCAUCGACGAAGGGUUUCUGACGGUAGAUGGAGAAGAAGCACCGGCUAACUACGUG
rnacentral:rRNA from 1 species